UACGUAGGGCGCAAGCGUUGUCCGGAAUUAUUGGGCGUAAAGAGCUCGUAGGCGGCUUGUCACGUCGGGUGUGAAAGCUCGGGGCUUAACCUGGGAACUGCGUCUGAUACUGGAAGGCUUGAGGAUGGGAGAGGGAUGUAGAAUUCCAGGUGUAGCGGUGAAAUGCGUAGAUAUCUGGAGGAAUACCGGUGGCGAAGGCGGCAUCCUGGACCAUUACUGACGCUGAGGCGCGAAAGCUAGGGGAGCAAACGGG
rnacentral:rRNA from 1 species